GACGUCUGAUGGAGUGGAAUGGCUCUCUGUCUCUGCAAUCUAAGAGAAGCUCGAAUAUUUUCGAGGUUGCUGAUGGGUCCACUAUCGUCGGGAGCCUUGGGCACUAAUGCUGCAGGCAGAAGUCGUCUGCUGUAGAAGCUCAGACAGGGACUUUCUGUUGGAGAAGUCCGAUAAGAGUCCGAUCGCUAGAGGAGUUCAUCUGAAAUUUGCCUG
rnacentral:lncRNA from 1 species